rnacentral:rRNA from 1 species
UGAGGAAUAUUGGUCAAUGGACGAGAGUCUGAACCAGCCAAGUAGCGUGCAGGAUGACGGCUCUAUGGGUUGUAAACUGCAUUUGUUUGGGAAUAAUCGACAUUACGUGUAAUGUUUUGCAUGUAUCAUUCGAAUAAGGACCGGCUAAUUCCGUGCCAGCAGCCGCGGUCAUACGGAAGGUCCAGGCGUUAUCCGGAUUUAUUGGGUUUAGAGGGAGUGUAGGCGGUUGGUUAAGCGUGUUGUGAAAUGUAGAUGCUCAACAUCUGACUUGCAGCGCGAACUGGCUGACUUGAGUACACACAACGUAGGCGGAAUUCAUGGUGUAGCGGUGAAAUGCUUAGAUAUCAUGAAGAACUCCGAUUGAGAAGGCAGCUUACGGGAGUGUUACUGACGCUUAAGCUCGAAGGUGCGGGUAUCGAACAGG